rnacentral:sRNA from 1 species
ACACACACACACUGGGGUGGGGUAGAAGAACACAUCAUGCACAGAAUGCACACACACACACACACACACACACACACACACACACACACACGGGGAGAUUUAAAUGGCUCACACUGCUCACUCCUGUACCCCUUAGCUUUGGUUGGUUAAAAACUGUCAUGCACCGAGACAGAGUAAGGUGCGUCCUGGAGACAGUGGUUCUCAUUUGUGAUAACAAACCAGGCCUUCAUGUCAACAUGGUCUCACAGCAAACUGCCAGGACUUGAACAGACUCCAGUGGAAGCAAUCUGGGAGGUGACAUGCUACCCAACACCAGCUCUCUCGCCAUCAGGAAGAACAUCUAUUUUAAGGAAUGCUUUUCUUGAAAACACAAACAGAAGGCAUCGAGAGGUAGAUGGAGAAAGGAACAACUGUGUCGGCAGACUAGAGCAGCCCUGCUGUUGCAGUCUGGAUAUGGUCCAGGGACAUAACUAGGCCAGUAUGCGCUGGGCCUUCAUGGGCUCAAAUGAGGUCCCAGCUGCUCUGAGUUCUCAGCUUUGAGACCAGGGAAAGCAUAUCCCUGAUGCCCUCUAUGCUCCGGUGGCUGGAGGUGACCAGGGAGCACUCACUUGCUCUUUCCUCAAAUACUGAGUGCAUUCCGGGUGCAGGGUCAGCAGAGGGACACGGGAACAAUCCGUACAAUGUAAGCAGUUGAUACUCAGAAUUUAAUAUACAGUCAACUGGAGGGGUGUGGAUGCUGGGUGGACUCUGGAGACCUUAUGGAACAACAGCUCUCCUAAGCUCAAACAUCUCCUCAUCCCUCUCAGACAGAGGCUACCACAUCUCUCAUCACCUCAGAUUAGACAACCCACAUGUCCGGUGCCACUCUGUGUACAGACUCAUACAACCCACAGCUUCUUUGUAACAUAGCAGUCCUCAACCUUCCUUCUAAUGCUGUGACCCUUUUUAAUACAGCUCCUCACGUUAUGGUGACCCCCAACCAUAACGUUAUUUUCCUUACUACUUCCCAACUGUAAAUCUUGCUACUGUUAUAAAUUGUAAUGCAAAUCCUUUUCUGGUGGUUUUAAGCGACUCCUGUCAAAGGGUCAGGCAACCUCAAAGUGAUCAUAACCCAUAAGAACCAUUGAGAAUACUUUGUUCUGCCAGUCAAGGCCAGAAUGACUGUAGAGGGGACGUGUCUUUGAGCAUUUGCUGGACUGUUGUCUGUGGACUAGUGCUGCCCUACAUCACUUAAUAACACACUUCCCUCCCCCAAGACAUUCCCAUAACACAACCUCAUCUGGACCAUGCCUCACUGAGACUCUCCACUGUGGGGAUUGAUUCUAGGUUGUAUCAAGUUGACCGUCAGAUCUAUUCAGCAUAGCCUCAAAGGCUUGCUUAUGUGACAGGAGAGAGGAGGCAGCGAGGAUAUGAAACACAAGAUGGCAAUCAGGGACAGCAUGCUGGGAAGGUGGGCUGGUGUUGAGAGCAGCCGAGGAAAGUGUAAGGAAGGGAAGGCUUGGUAUGCAUUGCCUUGGGCUGCAGCAGGUUGAGGUGGGUGAUUAAAUCUGGAGCCUGGUCCCCACGCAUGAGUAAUCCUCUGAGAGAUGCUUCCAACUUCGCUCUGGCAUCCACAGUACAGAAGAUGAGAGGUAGAAGAAGCCCAUGCCAUAGGAAAGUAUGGUAGCAUCUCUUUCCCCAUUGCCCAAUGGCUAGAGGACACCAAGACUUGACGGUCCUUACACCCUGUCCCUGUCUGUGAAGACAAGUCUUUUAUCAGGCAAGGCCAAGGAACACUAACUAUAAUCUGUCAUACUGUUCAUAACUGUAAUGUAUUACUACUGUGCAGAAGGAUCCUGUCCCCUUCUGGAGGAAGAUCUGGUUUCACAGUUAACCGGAGCAUCUGCUUCACAACUAUCUAGCGGCAUGUGGUUCCUGGGGGCAGAGACACUCUCUAUAAAGCUAUUUUUUCCCUUGAGAAACGCAGUGCAGAAAAGCUUGAGGCAUUAGUGUCAGCUCCAUGCUUACAUCCUUGUAACUUACAGUAACUCCUUGGAAAGCAAGAUCAGACUGUUGACCGUCCUAACAAAGCAAAACAAACAAAACCCAAACCAAAAAAAAACCCUUCACAACCCACAGAAAACAAGACGAAAUUCUCAUAAGAUCUACCUGUUACAAAGUCACUCACCUGACGCUGGCCUUCACGGCUAAAUGACACCGUGUUGCUGGGUUCGUUCACAUGGUGACUGACUAAUUAGUGACUUAGAGUUUUGAGGUACGUUUUGCCUUUGUUUUAGGAUGAUUUUCUCAGGGUUCCGGUCUAAAUCCUCUUGGGAAGUUUUAAAGUACAAUUUUUUUUUGGUAGCCAAUUUAAAUAUUGGAUGUGUAAAAGGGGGAAAGGAGAAUUCUGGGUCUUGUCUCUUGGCUUCGGUACCAAAGACUAGAAUAAUCGUGGGUAAUUAAGUCAGACGGUGAGCAUAAACCAUGCAGGUCAGGAAGCAGCAUGAACAAAGCAUAGGACUGGCUUGGUAUCAUUCACUAUUUUGCUUCAUUACCUCGCUUGAUGCUAAAAAGCACUUCCUCACAGGUCAAAGCAUGAGAUGCCAAUGGCCCGUCUUGCUUUCCAGCUGGCCAAUAGUUUGCGAAUAUGGAGAACUGCGAACCAGAAACCGUGUACGGCCUGGUAGUGUGAGUGAGUGCAGGGUGUUCAUUCAUCCUUGGGUAUUUCAUGACUGAGGAUGCAAAGUUAGAAUCACGGAGGUUUAUGCAAGGACAUCAAUUCACUUUUCCUCAGGGCUCUAUGAAACGAGCUUUGUAAUAUGAGCUUUGGCAUCCUAGGUAGAUCCUUCUAGGUCUCUUUUCUCCACUGGUCAUGUUUUGGCUGCAAUCACAUCUCUGGCCAGUGGACUCCAUCAGUUCGCAAGGGAGAGAGUCCAGCUGAGCUCCGGGGAGAGCCUCAAGACUGCAAGGAAUGCGAGCUCCCUUGUAGCUCACUCACAGGGGCCAGCACUGUCCUAAGAAGGGUAAGAAGCCUUCUGUGGGCUACAGAGCAGGAGGGCAGCGGGAGGACAUUAACCCAGUUAGCUAGGCAUUGACAGUUCAUUGUCUUGAGGAAUACUAUUGUCUUCAGGUAACCCUCUCCUGAGGUAACCCCUUCUCAGGUAACCCCCUCCUGAGGUAACCCCUUCCUCAGGUAACCCCUUCCUGAGGUAACCCCCUCCUCAGGUAACCCCCUUCCUGAGGUAACCCCUUCCUGAGGUGAGCCCCUCCUCAGAUAACCCUAGUUGACCAUGCUGUAUCACCUACUCCACAGCCUCUUGACAGAACAGUGCCAGGGCUGUGAAUUCCAAGUGAACACAAUCUGAAGCAGUUUCGUUAUGAGCAUUCUCCUGGGUCUGUCCUCUCCUAACUUGCAUGUAUGAGAUGAGGAGACUAUAAAGCUUGAAAAAGGGAACGAACUAAGUCAUUUUAAAUUAUCUUUCUUACCCCUCCCUUUGCCCACAGUUCUUUGAACUGGAACAUGCAUAUCCCGGGGACAUACACAAAUUUCCCGGGGCACCUGGCUAAGGACACAAACCAAACCAUCUAGAUCCUCCCAUGGGUCAGGUUCCCUAUCACCAAUGUGCCCCAGGACAGCGUCUGCUUUCUGGAGCCUCGUUUCUCAGGCUUUCCGAAGAAGGAUCCCUUCUUAUCCCUGAUUCUUACCAUAGUCCAUUCCACCUACAAGAGAAACUGAAGGGCCAACUGGAAAAUAUAUGGCUGUUGGGAGGGAACUAAAGUUGAGAAGUAAAGAAAACACCCUGUUUUACUGAGGUGACAACCUCAUGGAACAAUAAUAAUUUUGCAUCCAUCUGAUUUUUCUUUGUAUUUGCUUUAAAGGAUGGAGUCAGGAAUCUUCUGCAGGAAAAUAAGAUCGACAUAGUCAAUUAGCUUAACACAAAGAAUGGCUUUGCUGACUCAAUUCAUGGUAGAUAUUUUCCUCCAUUCGAACGGUGUCUGCAAUCAUGGGACUAAACUACCCCGCAUCCUGGGUACUUUCUGAAAUAGGUUUGAAACACACAAGCAUCAUUCAACAUGGAGUUAGGCAGCUUUUGCAACUACUGGACUAAAUUACUGAACUACUGACAAAUUACAAGUGUCAACUUUAAAAAUGUGUAAGAAGUGAGCUUUCAAAUUCUUUAUGAGUUCCGCUAAGCAGAAACACUGUUUAAAAAGCACAAAAAUCCAUCAUCAAGUCAGGCCAUUAAUGAGGUAAUUAAAAAGUUUCCCUCAAAACUCAACGAAGGUUUAGAACUUCUUCCUCAUAGGUCAGGAAAGAAACAUGAGAAAGAGAGAUUUCCCCUCUUCACACGCAGUGUGAGUGAAAGGACUUUAGGAAAAUUCUCAAGGCUUUGGGGAAUAUUAGUUCAUUUGUAUCUUGAGAGGAAACCACUUCAACUAAGGACCUCCACGGAUCUAGAGACAGUUUGGGGCUGUAGUAGAUGUCACUUCAGGCACAGAGUAAAGACCCUUUGUUGCUCUCUAGACUCUCCUGGGACCUGUGGCCAUCCUCCAAUCUUUCUCGAACAGCACCGUAUCUGUAGGACGCCAGGCAUUAUACUGCAGUCACUGUGCUAUUCUAUGCUCAUAGCACACUCCUCAGCUUAGACAUCAGCUCUCUGACAGACAGAGGCUGAGGCUAGCAGGUUUCAAAAAUCCCUCAUUUGCUUUUAAUUAUCUGGGGCCAGAGUUGGCAAGUACCUGGGAAACUGCAGGAGUGAGAGGUUUACCAAUGGAUCGUGAACAGUAUGAAGCAGCAGUACUCAACCCGUGGGUCAUGACCCCUUGGGGGUGGGGGUCACAUAUCAGAUAUCCUGCAUAUCAUAUAUUUACAUUACAUUAGCAAAAUUACAGUUAUGAAGUAGCAAUGAGAUAACUUAUGGCUGGUGUUCACCAUAACAUGAGAGAGUGUAUUAAAGGGUUACAGCAGUAGGCAGGUUGAGAAAACACUGGUAUGAAGGCUCAAUUUCCCCGCUUCUAUUCCCUUCCAACCUCUGUUAUUCUCCCAAACAAGAAAUAGGUGGAUCCGUUUCUACAUGCGGCUAUAAAUAACUACAAGCAGGAAUGUGGAGGAGACAAGGGCGGGGUGUGAUUUUGGUUGCCGAUUUGAUUUGGAGGCCUAUCCUGCUGGCCCAAUAGGGUUGAGGUAUUUAUAGGAAUAGGACUCACAGGUGCACAGACAAAGCCCAGGGAUUUUGCUUGUUGUGGCCAAGGGAUAUCUGCCUGGCUAAGGAACCAAAACGACAAAUCCUGUUUUAAAAUAGACUCAGAGGAUGUGAUUCUUAAGAGAGAACUCCAGUCGUUAAACUCACGCACAUUUUAGGAGUCAUGUCUCCAGCUGCCUCUCUGGAAUGGCUGCCCGCCCUAUUAAUUCUUACGGUGGUGGAGAGCUCACUUCCUCUGGGGCGCAGAGUUUGGACUUCAGACAUCAAAGCCCUAUAUCUACUGGGACCAGAUUCAUAAGCAAAGGCAAGUUUCCUAGUUGUUAUAGCGAAGGUCAAUGCCAUCCAUAAAGCAAGGAUAAAAAUGGCGGUACUGUGCACAGUACUUGCUAUUAAAUGGGACACCUAGGUUCAGCGACUGCUAUUCUAAUAGGGACUUCUGUAGGUGACACCAUUAGCAUUUUGGCUGAGUGUCUUCUGUGUGUAGGAAAGGGGGUGGUGACUGUCUGUGUCUUGUAGAUGCGUGCAAGCAUCUGCUUCUACUAGAUACCAUACCCGCUCAUCUGUUAGGUCAAUUAAGUCUCCAGACGCUGUUAAAUGUUCCUUCAGCAGAUGGGGGCGCUGUACGAUCUCUGGACGGAAUCCAUUACAUUUUGGGGCAAUUCCCUGUGAAACUCCUGAUGGUCAUUAUGAUUCCAUCUUUCUGUAACCCCAAGCCCUUCUUGGAGCACCAAGGAAAAAGGAAGAGGGAGAGUUUCCAUACUCGAAGGUGGCAAGGCUCACACUUGAACUCUGUAACUCCAGAGUCAUUUGUGUUUUAGUUUGUACCAGGAAACAGACUUAUUUGAAGUCUGCUUAUUUGAAGAACGGCCUAUCUUCCUCUUCCAGAUGAUCUCCCUCUGUGUCCAAGAAUACGUAAACAAGCAGCCCCAAAGCCCCCAGGGUAAAAUACAGGGUGAGACAGAUCACCAAUGGCUGCCAGGAACCCAGAGAGACUGCUAUCAAAGGUGAGCUCCCUGCCUGACUGAGGUGGUUCAAAUCAAGAGCUAAAGCCGUUCCUGAAACAAGGAGCCCGUAUCUGUGUCAGCUCUAGUCAGAAGCACACAGUGGUAUUGCCAUCAAAGCCAGGAAGGACCAAGAACAAGGGUAAGGGGAUUGGGGCACGCUUGAAAUAAAAGGCUCACAGGGAAAGGACGUCCCUGUCAGGUUUCAAUGAUCAAGCUACCAAGGACAACUAGAAUGAGUGUGCUAAGCACUAAGCUUGUUAUGUCCCAAAAUACAGGAUGAACCUGGAGGGAAAAAGCUCAAUUACUCCCACCUGAAUUAUUUCUUAAGAAUUGCGGUUGACUACCAGACAAGUACUUGUGACUGCAGUAAGUGUAUGUGCAGUCGGCUGUUUGGAAUGCCCACCAGGAGGAGGUCACCAAAGCCUCCAAUGGGGGUGUCCAACGAUAACAGGAAUCUCCUACUUAAACUUUGCAACCUAUGUUGCGUAGCCCUGAACCUCACCUCUGUUGCACUGAGUGUCUUGUACUGAUGGCUCAAAGCAAGGAAAAAGGAAGUAAAUACUGCCCACCAGAAAUAGAAAGUCUAGGCACACAGGCACCGUAAUGGGUACAGGGAAAGAACUCUUAAGGUACUGGUUCUCAACCACUCUAACGCUGUGACCCAACCAUAAAAUUAUUUUUGUUGCUGCUUCGUAACUGUAAUUUUGCUACUGUUAUGAAUCAUAAUGUAAGUGUCUGUGUUUGUGGAUGGUCUUAGGUUAUUUCUGGGAAAGGGUCAUUUAACCAACACCAAAAGGUUGACACCCACAGAUUGAGAACUACUGUUUUCUGAGCUUGAGGUGCUGGUCCCAGCUGAAGAAUCGACUAGUUGGUUAAUCAUUAGCUCUGGGCUUCUCGUGGCCAAGUUUCUCAUCUAGAAAAAUGGGACUGAAGACCUUUCGUACAACCGUGUCCCGAAAGCUCAGGCGAGUUCACACUGAAUGCGAUGAAGCUAUGCGGUGAAUGUUUUAAACUAACUGUUGGGAACUAGGAUGAGCAGCGAGUUCCUGCCAGGGCUGGCCAACUGGAAAGCACAGCGCUAUUUUCAGCAAUCCUGUGGAUAAGCCAGAAACACAAUGCUACACUACCCUCAUAAGAUAAUGAACUCAUUUUAAAUUGCACCUGCUGAUACUACACGGUCAAUGAGAUGCUGUCAAUACUGAAGUGUUACAACUUCAUUUGAUUAUUUACUUGAAGCUCACAGCAGUUUUAUCACAACUAACUAUGAAAACAUGGAAAUAGCCAAGAUGUCCUCCAGUAGGUAAUGGCUACGUCAACUGAGGGACGUCCAGAAGGAUCAGAACAUAACUGUCACGGUGGGUAACCUGUGAACCAGGUUGGAUGAACGACAGCAGUGGCUCUCAACCCUCCUAACGCUGUGACCCUUUAACUCAGUUCCUCCUGUUGUGGUGACUCCAGGCCAUGAAGUUAUUUUUGUUGCUAUUUAUAGCUGCAGUUUUGCUACAGGUCAAGAACUGCUAGCUAAGGGGUGAGCCUGUCUGUGAUGAUAUUUCCACAAAUGAGCAGAUCAAAGGGGCUCCGAGCAAUGAAUGGAUCAAUCCCUUGGAAAUCUGUAAUACUAACAGCAUUAGGAAGUAGUGAGAAGUCCUCAGGAAGGAAAUGUCCAGGGAGGUGUCCUUGGGGGGCUUUUAAGUUGUGGCCCUGGCAACUUCAUGAGUGUCACUUCCUGUCUAAGAAGAAAAGAACUACUGCCACCACACAUUGCUGGUGCCCUUGGGAUGUUCUGCCCAAAUAUGAGACCAGGUAGCCAGGGACUGAACCAUUUGAAACCACCAGGCAAAAUAAAAUCUCUCUCUUUGAGUUCUGUUAGGUAGUUGGUCACCGCAAUAAAAAGUUAAGUAAUACAUCCAGGCUACCUGUAAGAUUUUACAGUGACUGAUUUCUCCUUGUCCCAUCACACAGGCUGACAACACUCCUAACAACAACUGUGGACUUGGAUGAUGAUGAGUCCUUGUGUUAAUGCACCUUCAUCAGUUGUCACACGUGUACCAUACCAGGGAAGACAAUGCACACGUGUGGAGGUGGAACGAACACGUGACAUUUCUCUACCUUUGUUCCACCCAGAGAACCCUAAUAAUACUCUCGCCUCUCAACUCUAGUAAAAAGAAGUGUACUUGUCAUCCAAAUGCAUUUGUGGGGACUGUUGUUACAAUAGUUUAAUUUUAUGUGUCUGCACACUGGCGAUCAUUAAUUAAAUCAGAACACAAGGUCAGGGGAGGUGGCCUAGGUUAAAGGACUUGUUGUACAGGCAGCAUGCCUGAGGCUCUGAAUUUAGAGUCUCAAAAUCUAUGCAAAUGCCAGGUGGGUGUGGUGGCCUGCCUGCAAUUCUGCUUAGAAGGCUAGAGGGGGGCUGUCCAGAGCAAGCUGGCUCGUUAGACUAGCUAUAAUGUCAAGCUAUGUGUUGGGUCUAAUGCCCGUGCUUCAAUGAGUAAGACAGGCAGAAAAAGAGGAAGACUUUCAGCUCAACCUUGGGCCUCCGCAGGAUAACAAAUGUAUUUACACCUGCUCCAACACGCAACCCACACAUUUUUAGGAAUGCUCGAGUGUGUGCACGUGUGCGCGCGCGCGCGCGCGCGCACACACACACACACACGCCAGGGACAAACACAUGAAAGAAAAUAUAAUCGGAACGAAAAUAUUAAGAAGCAAAAAAAAUCACUUCCACCGCUUACACCUAUCUACCGCCUCAAAACCUAAAAGGAAAACAGAACUAAAACUAACCAGACAAAGUGCACAUUCCAAAAUCCAAACAACAACAGAGCCCAGUAGGGUCUGGAGUAUCCGCCAAGUGUGAAACACUGAGAUUAGCCCAGAAAAGCAAGUCCCCGUGGUACAGAAACCGUAUCUCCACAGCUGCUAGCUGCUGAAACGACACUGGUGCCUGCCCAUUUCGGAACUGCUACACUUUUAUUUAGCCACUUCCUCAGAAUGCCUAAGCUGCAUGAACAGCUGCUGGGUUAAAAAAAAAAAAAGGGAGCGGAUUUGGAGGCUUCAAAUGGAAGCAUUUCCUUCCCACCCCAGAGGUGACUUUCUCUAGAACACGAAGAUUUAGUUAGGAAAUUAGUAAACACCAAAUAGACGCAGCCCAUGGGGGGUUACAGGGACCUUUUCCCGUUUAUCUCGGCUAUCUAAACCAAGUAGGGGAAUAGUUGCCAGGAGGUGGUGGGAAGGGGAAUCCUUCAGUUUAUUUUAGGAACAAAGGAAACAGACAGCACAGAGCAUAUUUCCGAGAGACUGACUCACCCUGCGUUCUGUGUGCACACGUGAGAGGUUCCCUACCUGCCACCAUAAAGGGCAGAGCAGAAUGGGGGGGUCUGUGAUACUGAAGACAAACCUCCUGACAUUAAAAUUUCCUCACUCAGAAAUCGGGACACGCUGGAAAACAAGCAUUGAAUAUACGAGAAAGGUACUUCGCAAAGACUAGGUGAUACGAAUCAUCGUUGAAUGUGACGGAGCGUGUGGAUGGUCGACUCUCACAGCAGAACUGGGGUGUCACCGGGCCAGGCCACCUCUUAACAACAGGGACGUGGAAGAAUGAUGGCUGCGCUUGUACAUGGGGACAUCGUCUUACUGUUAAAAGGGGAAAUUCAUUACUUCCCAACUAAAAGACCUGUAUCCUUACAGCACAAAGACAGCUAGGAUGGUACAUUAAUUACACCAGCACUGAACUGGCUGGGAAGAGAAAUCAAUUCUAACGUUAUGUUCAUGGAAAAAUUGUACUAGACACAAUGACCCUCCAGUCAGGAAACAAUGCAGAGACUUGGGAGGUGGGCAGAUGGCUCCGUGGAUAAGGUGUUUGCUGCAUGAACAUUAGGACCUGGGUUUGGAUACCCGGUGGCCCAGCCAUGCACAUAAAAACAGCAUCAUACAUGUAACCCCAGAGCUGGGCUGGUGGUGUAUGUCAAGACAGGCAGAUGGAUCCCCAGGGCUCACGGACUAGCCAGCCAUUACAGGAAUGGUAAGCUCCAGGUUCGAUGAAGAAGCCUAUGCAUGUGCGCACGCGCGGCGCACACACACACACACACACACACACACACACACACACACCCACACCCACACACACCAUGUUACUAAUAUUCCCAAAGUGAAAAAAAUAUCAAUCCACUUACUGUACAUGCACGGUAGUCAUCGAUCAAAUUUGCCCAAUUAACAGUCUUUUUCCUUGUACUGUUGCAUGUUUCUCUGAACUAUUAAUCUUGUUUCCUGGUCCUUAAGCAACUUAAUAUUAUCAAUGAAAAAACCAGAAAAUGACUUUGAAGGAAAAUAUUACUUUAGGUCCAUCCUAUAUCAAAGGCGCUUUGAGCUCCCAGUAAGCUAAAGUCAUAAAAAGAAACAAAAAA